rnacentral:piRNA from 1 species
GAGGUGUUGGAGAGCUCUUACUAU